rnacentral:rRNA from 1 species
CACGUAGGGUGCGAGCGUUGUCCGGAAUUAUUGGGCGUAAAGAGCUCGUAGGCGGUCUGUCGCGUCGGAUGUGAAAGCCCCGGGGCUUAACCCCGGGUCUGCAUUCGAUACGGGCAGACUAGAGUGUGGUAGGGGAGAUCGGAAUUCCUGGUGUAGCGGUGAAAUGCGCAGAUAUCGGGAGGAACACCGGUGGCGAAGGCGGGUUGCUGGGCUGACACUGACGCUGACAGCGCGAAAGCUAGGGGAGCGAACGGG